CCCGGCUGAAGGCCUGCCGGUGGGGACGGCUGCUCUCUUCCCGGUAGCCUCUCGCAGAGCUGCCGGUUGAGACCUUAUCUGCAGGUUUAUCUGACUAAGAAAAUACCAUGUUUCCAAUCCCUUACCAGUGAAGCAUCCUUAAGUAUGGAGAACUUCAUUCUUUAUGAAGAGAUAGGAAGAGGAAACAAGACCAUCGUUUAUAAAGGAAGAAGAAAGGGGACAAUUAAUUUUGUUGCCAUUCUUUGCACUGAUAAAUGCAAAAGAGCUGAAAUAACAAACUGGGUUCGUCUGACUCAUGAAAUCAGACACAAGAACAUAGUGACAUUUCACGAAUGGUAUGAAACAAGCAACCACCUCUGGCUUGUAAUGGAGUUAUGCACAGGUGGUUCACUAGAAUCAGUUAUUGCCCAAGAUGAACAUCUACCUGAAGAAGUAGUGAGAGAAUUUGGUGUAGAUUUGAUUACCGGUUUACACCACAUUCAUAACCUUGGGAUUAUCUUUUGUGAGCUGACACCUGGAAAGAUUCUGCUGGAAGGGCCCGGCACUUUGAAGUUCAGUAACUUUUGCUUGGCUAAAGCAGAUGGAGAAAACUUGGAAGAAUUUUUCGCUUUAGUUGGGUCUGAAGAAACAGGAAGAGAUGUUGUUGAAAGCACUCCACAAAGACACCUGAAAAACAGACUUCGAGGCUCUCCAUUAUACACAGCUCCAGAAGUAAUAAAGGGAGAAGACUUCUCCAAGUCCAGUGAUCUGUGGUCCUUAGGAUGUUUACUUUAUGAAAUGUUCUCAGGAAGACCACCAUUCUUCUCAGAGAACUUUUCAGAAUUAAUUGAAAAGAUUUUAUAUGAAGAUCCACUGCCACCGAGGCCCAAGGAUUCUGCUUUUCAGAAACCUUCUGCAGAGUUCAUCAGCUUACUUGAUGGAUUGCUUCAAAAGGAUCCUCAGAAGAGGCUCAACUGGACAGACAUAUUGCAACAUCCAUUCUGGAAAGACUCCCUUAGCCAUUGUGACGGCGAUUCUUCAGACAGCCAGGGCUCAAGCAAUGAACACUUGGAGUCAUGGAAUACCAAGGGGCCAGAAGAUGCUUGUAAAAACCUAUCAUCUUCAAGAGCAGAUAAUAAGCUACCAAGCAAUUCUUUUAAAAUAGUAGAAAAUCCGACUGAAUUGCGCCCCAAAAAUGCAGAUGGUGGAUCAAAUGAAUCCAUAUUUCUUCUGAGUUCUCGUCCUACUCCUAGAACCAGCACUGCAGUACAAGUAACUGAUGUUACUAUUGCUCCAAUCCAAAAUUCUCCACAAAAGGAUUCAAGCACGACAAGGGCUAAAAAUGUGUGCUCAAGUCAGCAGGAUAUGGAGUCAGCAUUGAAAGAGCUCAUUUACACUGAAUCUGAUCUUAUCAUAACGCCAAUCAUUGACAAUCCAAAGAUAAUGAAGCAAGUGCCAGUUAGAUUUGACUCAAAAGCUUUACAUAUACCAGCAUAUUCAGCUGAGAAGUUGUCAUCUCUGAAGGAUGUGGACUGGAAUGACUUCUUGCACCAAGCAUGUUUGUUGCUUGAUUCCACUGAGAAGAAUCCAGGAACAGCACGUUCUAAACUGAAUUUACUGUCUUACCUCUGUACUGUGGCUGGCCACAAGGAAGCUGCAAGCAGGCUAAUUAACUCUCAGCUGUUUCCAGUGUUAAUACAGCAGCUGCGUGCCGCCGCCAACUGGGAUAUACGUGCUAAAGUGGCUCGAGUGAUUGGUUUGCUGGCACUGCACACAUCUGAGCUUGGAGAAAACAUACCUGUGUCUGAGGCAUUUAUACUUCUAACUGAACUCAUCAGAGAGAACUUCAGAAAUAGCAAAUUGAAACAAUGCCUUUUACCAGCACUUGGGGAGCUUCUUUAUCUUGUAGCCAGUGAGGAGGUAAAAAAAGAGCACCCCAGAGAAUGCUUGGUUGUUCCCUCAGCAGCUUACACUGUGCUAAUGAGGUGUCUUCGGGAAGGGGAAGACCGGACAGUGAACCAUUUGGCAGCAAAGAUAAUCGAAAAUGUUUGCACUACUCUCUCUUGCUAUGCACAAGGAUUUAUUACAGGAGAAAUUGGACCAGUCUUAUGGUACCUUUUCACACAUUCUACCAUAGAUUCUUUGAAAAUAACUGCUGUUUCGGCUUUAUGUAGAAUUACCCGUUAUUCACCCAGUGCUUUCCAGAGUGUCAUUGAGAAGGUGGGAUUAACAGCUGUACUAAAUUCCUUGCUAACUGGAAUAUGCAAAAUACAGCAGUACCUGCUCACCAUGUUUUCUGCAAUGUUGUCAUGUGGAAUUCAUCUCCAGAGGCUGAUACAAGAAAAGGAGUUUAUGGCUACAAUUAUUCGUUUACUUGAAAGUCCUUCAACUUUCAUACGAGCAAAAGCAUUUCUGGUCCUGCUGCAAGUUUUAAUAAAUAGCAGGGAAAUGUUGCUUCUCAGUUGUCAAGCAAGGCUUGUGAUGUAUAUUGAAAGAGACAGCAGAAAGACCACAGCAGGAAAAGAGCAGCAAAGCGGCAAUGAAUACCUGUCAAAAUGCCUGGAUCUUCUCAUCCAUCACAUUGUACAAGAGCUGCCAGGAAUUCUAGGUGACAUUCUCAAUACCUUAACUAAUGUCUCUGGACGCAAACACCCAUCAACAGUUCAGGCCAAACAGCUGAAGAUGUGCCUUCCCAUGAUGCCUGUAGUGCUUCAUCUUGUGACAUCCCAGGUAUUUCGUCCUCUCAUUGUCACAGAGGAGUUUCUUUUCAACUAUGGGACCUUACUUAAUUUUAUUAGAUCGAUAGAGUCAGGAGAAACAAAUUUGGAUGGAGCAAUAGGUCCAGCUGCAUCAGAAGAACUGAUUAAGAGUACUUUAUCAACGUUUGAAGCAGUAACAUUGCAUCCUGCCUUGUUGACGAUCCAUCACUCGACUGUUGAAGGCUGCAUCCUCCCACCACUAGUUUCUUUGGUCCACAGUCAGAAUGUGGAAUGGAGACUCUUCAGUUUGCGGUUGCUCUCAGAAACCACAUCACUACUCUUAAACCACAAGGUUAUGGCUGAGGAGAAAGAGGAGAGCCUCGACUCAAACAGGAAGCUUCUGUCUCUCAUUAGAGAUUCAUUGCUGCCUCAGUAUGAGCAUAUCCUGAUGACUCCAGACCCAGUACCACUGUAUGCUCUGAAACUGUUGGUGGCCCUGACUGAACACAGCCCUUCUUCUGUGAGCCUUGUGGAAGAAAACCAUCUUUUUCCAGUUCUUUUCCAAGUCAUCUUGGUAUUCCUGUUUCUGGUUGUGCAUUCAAUGCUGUACAAGAAAUUGUGAAAUUUGGUGGCUCAUUCUGGUGUAGUUUCUCUGUUUGUUCCUGCUUGUAUGGAAUAUCUGCAUUUCUGGCAGCAGGGGAGCAGUCUGACAAGUGGCAUCUGGCAUGGAACUACAUCUGAAGCAAAGGAGCGGGAUUGAAUUCUUUCGUGUGGGAAAAAUGACACCCAUUGAUGCUUGCUGAGCAUUUAUAAAGACCGUACAGUGGAUGUGUGCACAGUGAGACAAUGGGUGGUGUGUUUCAGCAGUGGUGACAAGCCACGUUCCAGGCACAUAUGCAUUUCUGUCACGCUGUAAAAUGAGGUUUGUCAAUCAGCUCAUCUCUAAAUUGGCAAAUGGCAAUCGGGAAGUGUAUAUUGAGCUGAAUAUUGGCUUCAGUGUGUUGGAAACAAUGGUGGCAAUGUUGAAAUAGCAAAGUUUGCACCAGUUUAGUCCCGCAUUUGUUCACGUGGGAACAGAAGAGCACCAUAUGCAAGCUUUUCAGGACUUCUGGGACCAACAUGAAGCUGAAGGUGACGUUUUCCUGGAUCACAUCAGUAGGGGUGACUAGAUGUGGUGUCUCCAUUACAAGCUGGAGUCAAGAUGUCAGUCCAUGCAGUGACAACAUGUGCAUUCCCAUUGAAGAAGUAAUUCAAGGCACAGCCCUCAGAGGGUGAUGUGCACUGUUUUUUUGGGAUGGUAAAGGUGCAGUGCUUUUGGAUUUCCUGGAACCUAGAUGAACCACCAGCUCUGACUGCUGUAUCACAAUGCUGACUAAGUUGAAGGUUUGAACUUCUGUAGUCAGACCAGAGAAGAAGAGAACACUUUCUCUUGUAACAUGAUAACAGCAGGGCCCAUAACAGUUUGAAGACCACAGAGCACAAUGCAAUCUUGUCUGUGCUGUCCUUCCACACCCACUGUCUAUUCCAAUUUUGAUGCCUUCUGGCGUCCAUCUGUCUGGGCCAAUGAAAGAUGAAUUGUGUGGCAGCCUCAAUGCUGCCACUGCAUCUGUGAAACAGUGAGUUAUUUCCAUUGGUGCAGAUUUUCUGAGUGUGACAUGCAAGCUCUUGUUCAUUGAUAGUGCAAAUGCACAGCUAA